UAACGCGUGAGGAACCUGCCUCAAAGAGGGGGACAACAGUUGGAAACGACUGCUAAUACCGCAUAAGCCCACAGCUCGGCAUCGAGCAGGGGGAAGAGGAGUGAUCCGCUUUGAGAUGGCCUCGCGUCCGAUUAGCUAGUUGGUGAGGUAAUGGCCCACCAAGGCGACGAUCGGUAGCCGGACUGAGAGGUUGAACGGCCACAUUGGGACUGAGACACGGCCCAG
rnacentral:rRNA from 1 species